rnacentral:rRNA from 1 species
UACGUAGGGACCGAGCGUUGUCCGGAAUCAUUGGGCGUAAAGAGCGUGUAGGCGGCUUGCUAAGUCUUGCGUGAAAUCUCGGGGCUCAACCCCGAGCGGUCGUGGGAAACUGGCAGGCUAGAGUGCGGGAGAGGAGAAUGGAAUUCCUGGUGUAGCGGUGAAAUGCGCAGAUAUCAGGAAGAACACCCGUGGCGAAGGCGGUUCUCUGGAACGCAACUGAGGCUGAGACGCGAAAGCGUGGGGAGCAAACAGG